GCGAGCGUUGUUCGGACUUACUGGGCGUAAAGGGCGCGUAGGCGGCGACUCAAGUUAGAUGUGAAAGUCCUGGGCUUAACCUGGGGACUGCAUUUGAUACUGGGUUGCUUGAAUUCGGGAGAGGAUAGCGGAAUUCCCAGUGUAGAGGUGAAAUUCGUAGAUAUUGGGAAGAACACCGGUGGCGAAGGCGGCUAUCUGGACCGACAUUGACGCUGAGGCGCGAAAGCGUGGGGAGCAAACAGG
rnacentral:rRNA from 1 species